rnacentral:rRNA from 1 species
CUCGGGACAACUCCGGGAAACUGGAGCUAAUACCGGAUAAGACCACAUGAUCCUCGGAUCGAGUGGGAAAAGAUGGCCUCUUCUUGAAAGCUAUCGCUCGAAGAUGAGCCCGCGUACCAUUAGCUUGUUGGUGAGGUAACGGCCCACCAAGGCUACGAUGGUUAGCUGAUCUGAGAGGAUGAUCAGCCACACUGGAACUGAGACACGGUCCAG